UACGUAGGUGGCAAGCGUUGUCCGGAAUUAUUGGGCGUAAAGCGCGCGCAGGCGGCCUCUUAAGUCUGAUGUGAAAGCCCCCGGCUCAACCGGGGAGGGCCAUUGGAAACUGGGAGGCUUGAGUAUAGGAGAGAAGAGUGGAAUUCCACGUGUAGCGGCGAAAUGCGUAGAGAUGUGGAGGAACACCAGUGGCGAAGGCGACUCUUUGGCCUAUAACUGACGCUGAGGCGCGAAAAGCGUGGGGAGCAAACAGG
rnacentral:rRNA from 1 species